rnacentral:rRNA from 1 species
UGGGGAAUUUUCCGCAAUGGGCGAAAGCCUGACGGAGCAAUACCGCGUGCGGGAGGAAGGCCUUUGGGUCGUAAACCGCUUUUAACAGGGAAGAAGAUCUGACGGUACCUGUUGAAUAAGCCUCGGCUAACUCCGUGCCAGCAGCCGCGGUAAGACGGAGGAGGCAAGCGUUAUCCGGAAUUAUUGGGCGUAAAGCGUCCGCAGGUGGCCUAUCAAGUCUGUUGUUGAAGCCCAGGGCUCAACUCUGGAUCAGCAAUGGAAACUGAAAGGCUAGAGUACGGUAGGGGCAGAGGGAAUUCCCAGUGUAGCGGUGAAAUGCGUAGAUAUUGGGAAGAACACCAGUGGCGAAGGCGCUCUGCUGGGCCGUAACUGACACUCAUGGACGAAAGCUA